AGUGCAGGAGGAAUCCUUGCUGGGCUCAAGUCAGCCUGCAGCCAGUGUUAGAUUUUUUAAGGGGCUUCUCCCUGUGAUCACAGGCAACCUUUGCUUUUUCACUGCUUGCCUCUGUGCACCUGUGCUCUUCCCAGCCCCAGCACCCCAACCGGGGCUUCAUUCGGGCCACCUGGCAUGUUCCAGGCAUCUUCUUCACAGUGGAAGGGAAGAUAGGAUCUUCUGCUGAGGCUCCUGGGGACUUCUGAAGAUAUUCAGGGCCUGGAGAGGUGGAGGAAGGAGCUGCCUGGUUAACAGCGGAAAAAAACACCUCUGGAAUGAUAAGCCGCCCUGCUCCAGGGAGGAUGGAGUGGAUCAUCCCUCUGAUUGUGGUAUCAGCCUUGACCUUCGUGUGCCUCAUCCUUCUCAUUGCUGUGCUCGUUUACUGGAGAAAAUGUUUUCAGACUGCUCAUUUCUAUGUGGAAGACAGCAGUUCACCUCGAGUGGUCCCUAAUGAAAGUAUUCCUAUUAUUCCUAUUCCGGAUGACAUGGAAGCCAUUCCUGUCAAACAGUUUGUCAAACACAUCGGUGAGCUCUAUUCUAAUAACCAGCAUGGGUUCUCUGAGGAUUUUGAGGAAGUCCAGCGCUGUACUGCUGAUAUGAACAUCACUGCAGAGCAUUCCAAUCAUCCAGAAAACAAGCACAAAAACAGAUACAUCAACAUUUUAGCAUAUGAUCACAGUAGGGUGAAGUUAAGACCUUUACCAGGAAAAGACUCUAAGCACAGCGACUACAUUAAUGCAAACUAUGUUGAUGGUUACAACAAAGCAAAAGCCUACAUUGCCACCCAAGGACCUCUGAAGUCUACAUUUGAAGAUUUCUGGAGGAUGAUUUGGGAACAAAACACUGGAAUCAUUGUGAUGAUUACAAACCUUGUGGAAAAAGGAAGACGAAAAUGUGAUCAGUAUUGGCCAACAGAGAACAGUGAGGAAUAUGGAAACAUUAUUGUCACGCUGAAGAGCACAAAAAUACAUGCCUGCUACACUGUUCGUCGUUUUUCAAUCAGAAAUACAAAAGUGAAAAAGGGUCAGAAGGGAAAUCCCAAGGGUCGUCAGAAUGAAAGGGUAGUGAUCCAGUAUCACUAUACACAGUGGCCUGACAUGGGAGUUCCCGAGUAUGCCCUUCCAGUACUGACUUUCGUGAGGAGAUCCUCAGCAGCUCGGAUGCCAGAAAUGGGCCCUGUGUUGGUGCACUGCAGUGCUGGUGUGGGCAGAACAGGCACCUAUAUUGUAAUAGACAGCAUGCUGCAACAGAUAAAAGACAAAAGCACAGUUAACGUCCUGGGAUUCCUGAAGCAUAUCAGGACACAGCGUAACUACCUCGUCCAGACUGAGGAGCAGUACAUUUUCAUCCAUGAUGCCUUGUUGGAAGCCAUUCUUGGAAAGGAGACUGAAGUAUCUUCAAAUCAGCUGCACAGCUAUGUUAACAGCAUCCUUAUACCAGGAGUAGGAGGAAAGACACGACUGGAAAAGCAAUUCAAGCUGGUCACACAGUGUAAUGCAAAAUAUGUGGAAUGUUUCAGUGCUCAGAAAGAGUGUAACAAAGAAAAGAAUAGAAACUCUUCAGUUGUGCCAUCUGAGCGUGCUCGAGUGGGUCUUGCACCAUUGCCUGGAAUGAAAGGAACAGAUUACAUUAAUGCUUCUUAUAUCAUGGGCUAUUAUAGGAGCAAUGAAUUUAUUAUAACUCAGCAUCCUCUGCCACAUACUACGAAAGAUUUCUGGCGAAUGAUUUGGGAUCAUAACGCACAGAUCAUUGUCAUGCUGCCAGACAACCAGAGCUUGGCAGAAGAUGAGUUUGUGUACUGGCCAAGUCGAGAAGAAUCCAUGAACUGUGAGGCCUUUACCGUCACCCUUAUCAGCAAAGACAGACUGUGCCUCUCUAAUGAAGAACAAAUUAUCAUCCAUGACUUUAUCCUUGAAGCUACACAGGAUGACUAUGUCUUAGAAGUUCGGCACUUUCAGUGUCCCAAAUGGCCUAACCCAGAUGCCCCCAUAAGUAGUACCUUUGAACUUAUCAACGUCAUCAAGGAAGAGGCCUUAACAAGGGAUGGUCCCACCAUUGUUCAUGAUGAGUAUGGAGCAGUUUCAGCAGGAAUGUUAUGUGCCCUUACCACCCUGUCCCAGCAACUGGAGAAUGAAAACGCUGUGGAUGUUUUCCAGGUUGCAAAAAUGAUCAAUCUUAUGAGGCCUGGAGUAUUCACAGACAUUGAACAAUACCAGUUCGUCUAUAAAGCAAUGCUUAGCUUGGUCAGCACUAAAGAAAAUGGAAAUGGUCCCAUGACAGUGGACAAAAAUGGUGCUGUUCUUAUUGCAGAUGAAUCAGACCCUGCUGAGAGCAUGGAGUCCCUAGUGUGACUAGAAUCCUGAAAGGGCACUUAAUUUGUAAACUUCUGAAGACUGAGAACUUUUUUGAGGCCUUUUUUGCCAGACUCUAGGUUAUACAAUAACCCAGUUACUUUUUUACACUGAUAAAAGUUUUGAUAUUUAUUUUUUGCCAUUUUAUGUCUUAACGGUAUCCUACUGAGCAUUUGCAUUUGCACCUCUGUUCAUUUCACACAGUGAAACGCAAUUUUACCUAGUUUGCACUAUAUGAUCAGUGUUACUG
rnacentral:sRNA from 1 species